UUUGAUUUUUGUUUAAUGUUUUGAAAACAUUAGUAAAGAGAUUCCUUCUCUUAAAAG
rnacentral:tRNA from 1 species